rnacentral:rRNA from 1 species
AGUGAACGCUGGCGGUAGGCCUAACACAUGCAAGUCGAACGGCAGCACAGUAAGAGCUUGCUCUUACGGGUGGCGAGUGGCGGACGGGUGAGGAAUACAUCGGAAUCUACUUUUUCGUGGGGGAUAACGUAGGGAAACUUACGCUAAUACCGCAUACGACCUACGGGGGAAAGCAGGGGAUCUUCGGACCUUGCGCGAUUGAAUGAGCCGCUGUCGGAUUAGCUAGUUGGCGGGGUAAAGGCCCACCAAGGCGACGAUCCGUAGCUGGUCUGAGAGGAUGAUCAGCCACACUGGAACUGAGACACGGUCCAGACUCCUACGGGAGGCAGCAGUCGGGAAUAUUGGACAAUGGGCGCAAGCCUGAUCCAGCCAUACCGCGUGUGUGAAGAAGGCCUUCGGGUUGUAAAGCCCUUUUGUUGGGAAAGAAAAGCAGCAGGUUAAUACCCCGCUGUUCUGACGGUACCCAAUGAAUAAGCACCGGCUAACUUCGUG